ACUCCUACGGGAGGCAGCAGUGGGGAAUAUUGCACAAUGGGCGCAAGCCUGAUGCAGCCAUGCCGCGUGUGUGAAGAAGGCCUUCGGUUGUAAAGCACUUUCAGUCGUGAGGAAGGUAGUGUAGUUAAUAGCUGCAUUAUUUGUACGUUAGUCGACAGAAGAAGACACCGGCUAACUCCGUGCCAGCAGCCGCGGUAAUACGGAGGGGUGCGAGCGUUAAUCGGAAUUACUGGGCGUAAAGCGCAUGCAGGUGGUUUGUUAAGUCAGAUGUGAAAGCCCGGGGCUCAACCUCGGAAUAGCAUUUGAAACUGGCAGACUAGAGUACUGUAGAGGGGGUAGAAUUUCAGGUGUAGCGGUGAAAUGCGUAGAGAUCUGAAGGAA
rnacentral:rRNA from 1 species